rnacentral:rRNA from 1 species
CGGAGUGAGUAACACGUGGAUAACCUACCUAUAAGACUGGGAUAACUUCGGGAAACCGGAGCUAAUACCAGAUAACAUGUUGAACCGCAUGGUUCAACAGUGAAAGACGGUCUUGCUGUCACUUAUAGAUGGAUCCGCGCCGCAUUAGCUAGUUGGUAAGGUAACGGCUUACCAAGGCAACGAUGCGUAGCCGACCUGAGAGGGUGAUCGGCCACACUGAAACUGAGACACGGUCCAG